rnacentral:rRNA from 1 species
GAUGAACGCUGGCGGCGUGCCUAAUACAUGCAAGUCGAGCGAACAGACGAGGAGCUUGCUCCUCUGACGUUAGCGGCGGACGGGUGAGUAACACGUGGAUAACCUACCUAUAAGACUGGGAUAACUUCGGGAAACCGGAGCUAAUACCGGAUAAUAUUUUGAACCGCAUGGUUCAAUAGUGAAAGACGGUCUUGCUGUCACUUAUAGAUGGAUCCGCGCUGCAUUAGCUAGUUGGUAAGGUAACGGCUUACCAAGGCAACGAUGCGUAGCCGACCUGAGAGGGGGGUGGUCGGCACUGGAGGUGAGACGCGGUCGUGAAGACUACGAGAGGAAGCAGUAGGAGAGGUUCCGCAGUAGUGGGCAAAAGGACGAAGCAGCAACGCGGCGGGGGUGAUGAAGUUCGGCGCGUAAUAAUCCGCUAUUAGGGGGGAACAACUGUGGAAGAAGCUAUGGAGCACAUGACGGUAGUUACUAAUAAGACAGCGGCUAACUACGUG